rnacentral:rRNA from 1 species
GUCCACGCCCUAAACGAUGAUUACUCGAUGUGUGCAAUACACCGUACGCGUCUGAGCGAAAGCAUUAAGUAAUCCACCUGGGGAGUACGACCGCAAGGUUGAAACUCAAAGGAAUUGACGGGGGCCCGCACAAGCGGAGGAGCAUGUGGUUUAAUUCGAUGAUACGCGAGGAACCUUACCAGGGCUUGAAAGUUAAGGAAUGAUGUAGAAAUAUGUCAGUCAGCAAUGACCUAAAACUAGGUGCUGCAUGGCUGUCGU